rfam:Salmo salar isolate Sally breed double haploid chromosome ssa06, whole genome shotgun sequence.
AAUGCCCAAUUUGUAAGUCGCUCUGGAUAAGAGCGUCUGCUAAUGACUUAAU